rnacentral:lncRNA from 10 species
GGGCCUGGUGCGCAUCCAUUCCCUUCACCGCCGCGUCUCAGGGGCCGGCGGGCCUCCAGGGGCCUCCAGUGACCCCAAGGACCCAGACCUCUUCUGGGAUGACUCAGCUCUCACCAUCAUUGUGAACCCCAUGGAGUCCUACCAGAAUCGGCAGUCCUGUGUGACGGGGGCUGUUGGGGGCCAGCAGGAGGAUGAGGACAGCAGUGACUCGGAGGUGGCCGAUUCCCCCAGCAGCGACGAGAGACGCAUCAUCGAGACCCCCCCACACCGCUACUAAGGCCUACACCUCUCCCCACGCAGAGGGGGAAUUCUGCCCUGGUGAAACAGACACUCCAGACAUGGGAGAAGGACUUUCUGGGAACACAGAGACCAAGAGGGAGAGAGGCUUCAGAACCAGUCCUCCUUUCAUUUCAAAACCCCAGCGGGCCCUCUGGAGUCCGCCCUGCCCCUCCCCCGGCCCCCCAUCCCUCACUUCUGGGCUGUCAUGCUCCUGGUGUGCCCCUUGCACUGGGGCUGGCUGGGUUGGAAAGUGGGCUGGACUUCAGCUGCCUUUCUACCCCCAAUGGCAGCUGCCCCCUUAGCACUCACUGUGUUGGGGAGAGGGUGACGAUUGCAAUGGCUGGGGCUGGGGCUGGGGGUGGGAUUGAAGGAAACCCUCUCCUCUCCCCUUCCCUUCUCUCUCCUGUCCAUGGGAAGCUUUUCCCCCUCUGCAGGGCUCCCUCAGCUGGACCAUCGUCCCUGCUUCUCUUAUGAUCGCCCCACCUCAUUUCCAUUUCAGUCUGGGGACCCCAUUUCUCCCUCCUUUCCAACUUCCUUCCUUUCUUGUCCUGUUUCCCUUCCUGCCCUUGCAGUCCUGAGGUCCUGCAGCCCCGGCCCCUCCUCCGUGACCUGGUGUGGCCAGGCUGCGGGGACGGGAGGGGACGUGGGGGCCCCGGGUGUACAUAUAUAAUGUAUAUUUUUUCAAUGUUGUCGUGAGUGCAGCCCAUGUUCCUGCGUGCAGCUCACGGCCUUGUGUGUAUGUGUGUGUGUGUGUGUGUGUGAGGCAUCGUCAUGUCCUGGGGCAGGGGCGGGGGGUUGGGUGUGGUGAGGGAGGGGACAUAUCCUAGGGUUUUCAAAUAAAACAAUC